UAAGGGCCUGGAGCUGGCAGCCUCCAGGUGCCUGAUUAGGGCAGCCAUUUUGAGGCCUAUAUAAACCAGGCAGUUGGGCUGCAGGAGGCCAGGCAGCAACAUUGCUUGGCCAUAGGGCUGCUGUGAAUGACCUGGAGGGAUGCUAAAGAUAUCUUGCAAAACACAUCUGAGCAGCUUCUUGGGGUCUAUAGGUUGACAUUGGGCUGUUCUUCUGGAGGUGCUGACUAUGUAUAGCACCAAUGAGAGAGC